rnacentral:lncRNA from 1 species
GCAGUUCUUGGAUGUGCAGAGAGCAACACACACGUUUAAUCACCAAGAAACCCCGUGGGUCUAAUAACAGUAGAUUGAAGGGUGCAGGCCAGGGUGAGGGCAGGUGGGUCUAAUGACAGUAGAUUGAACUGCCAGGGUGGGGGCAGGUGAAGCUGAUCUGCAGACAGACAUGCAGGGAGGGAUCCUGCGUCCUCUCCCAGAGCCCUGCCCCGCGGCCCGGCAUGGGAGGGCUUCCACCACCACGGAUGCUCCAUGCCCAACACAUGUCUGCAUGACCAUCCCUCACUGCCAGGUUGUCACACCCAUGUGGAGGCCAGUAACCCACCCGCCCUCAGCCCUAGGGGUGAGUCAGUGACCCCCCAGCAUCCAGCAGCCCACCUGACACGGAUGCUCACACAGCCGCCCUGAGCGUCGCCCGGCACACAGCACUCUGACACGGAUGCCCACACGGCCGCCCUGAGCGUUGCCCGGCACACAGCACUCUGACACGGAUGCCCACACGGCCGCCCUGAGAGUCGCCCGGCACACAGCACUCUGACACGGAUGCCCGCACGGCUGCCCUGACUGUCGCCCGGCACACAGCACUCUGACACGGAUGCCCGCACGGCUGCCCUGAGAGUCGCCCGGCACACAGAACGCUGACACGGAUGCCCACACGGCCGCCCUGAGAGUCGCCCGGCACACAGCACUCUGACACGGAUGCCCAGACGGCCGCCCUGAGCGUCGCCCGGCACACAGCACUCUGACACAGAUGCCCGCACAGCCGCCCUGAGCAUCGCCCGGCACACAGCACUCUGACACGGAUGCCCGCACGGCUGCCCUGACUGUCGCCCGGCACACAGCACUCUGACAUGGAUGCCUGCACGGCCGCCCUGAGCGUCGCCCGGCACACAGCACUCUGACAUGGAUGCCCGCACGGCCGCCCUGAGCUCCGCCCGGCACACAGCACUCUGACACGGAUGCCCGCACGGUUGCCCUGAGCGUCGCCCGGCACACAGCACUCUGACACGGAUGCCCGCACAGCCGCCCUGAGCAUCGCCCGGCACACAGCACUCUGACAUGGAUGCCCGCAGGGCCGCCCUGAGCUUCGUCCGGCACACAGCACUCUGACACGGAUGCCCGCACAGCCGCCCUGAGCAUCGCCCGGCACACAGCACUCUGACACGGAUGCCCGCAGGGCCGCCCUGAGCUUCGUCCGGCACACAGCACUCUGACACGGAUGCCCGCAGGGCCGCCCUGAGCGUCGCCCGGCACACAGCACUCUGACACGGAUGCCCGCACGGUUGCCCUGAGCGUCGCCCGGCACACAGCACUCUGACACGGAUGCCCGCACGGCUGCCCUGACUGUCGCCCGGCACACAGCACUCUGACACGGAUGCCUGCACGGUUGCCCUGAGCGUCGCCCGGCACACAGCACUCUGACAUGGAUGCCCGCACGGCCGCCCUGAGCAUCGCCUGGCACACAGAACGCUAACACGGAUGCCCAGACGGCCGCCCUGAGCGUCGCCCGGCACACAGCACUCUGACACAGAUGCCCGCACAGCCGCCCUGAGCGUCGCCCGGCACACAGCACUCUGACACGGAUGCCCGCAGGGCCGCCCUGAGCUUCGUCCGGCACACAGCACUCUGACACAGAUGCCCGCAGGGCCGCCCUGAGCUCCGCCCGGCACACAGCACUCUGACAUGGAUGCCCGCACGGCCGCCCUGAGCGUCGCCCGGCACACAGCACUCUGACACGGAUGCCCGCACGGCUGCCCUGACUGUCGCCCGGCACACAGCACUCUGACAUGGAUGCCCGCACGGCCGCCCUGAGCAUCGCCCGGCACACAGCACUCUGACAUGGAUGCCCGCAGGGCCGCCCUGAGCUCCGCCCGGCACACAGCACUCUGACAUGGAUGCCCGCACGGCCGCCCUGAGCAUCGCCCGGCACACAGCACUCUGACACGGAUGCCCGCAGGGCCGCCCUGAGCGUCGCCCGGCACACAGCACUCUGACACGGAUGCCCAGACGACCACCCUGAGCGUCACCCGGCACCCAGCACACAGCACUCUGCGGCGUUUCUUGUCUGCUGGUUGCUGUUGUCUCUGCCCAGAUAGAACACGCAUCCCUGGAGCACUGGGACGUUGCCUGUCUGCUCACUGGCAGCUCAUGCAGCCCCCAGCAGGUGCCCAAUGCUCUCGAGUGAGUGACAGGAAGCUGGGCACUGGCCUUCUGUCUUCAGGAGAGAUGCUUCUGAAUUGCUGCUCCAUCUUUCUAUGUUGGCUCAGACACACUUGCUGAAGUGUGUCUGAGUGAAGUGAAGGAAAAUGACAAACAGAGCUCCCGCCACUGCCCAGGACUUGUCCCCGUGCCCCAGGGUGUAUUCUGAGCUCCAGCCUCUCAGGCUCACGUGUUGGUUGACACAAGUGGACAUGGUCACCCCAGGCAGCCAGCGGCCUGGGGCUCCACGGAAGGCCCAUGAAGCNCAGGUCAGAAGAGAACGGAGUCUUAAGUCACCUCAGAGGAGGCAGGAGAAGGUGAUUUGCAGAAUGAGCUCCAUGUAGUUCCACAGGGAUGAGGCAUCAAAGGUCUCCUAAUCCCCAGACAAAUUUCUCCCAUUUGUCUGGCUCUGACUCAGAUGUCCUUAGGGGACAGGGCACCCAGCAAGCAUCGUUCACCAGGAAAAGCGCAUCCUUGUUCAUUUCAUGUGUAGCUGCAGCUGCCCUCCAAUUCCCCCUUUAAUUCCCUGACGCUUUAAUCAGGCAAGUCACAGAGUGGGACNUGGGGGUGCAGGAUGGGGGCUGGGAGUGAAUGGGCUCCAGGGAGCUUCCUGCCUGCGGCCAGAGCCACACCGGGCAGAUCCCUCCCCUGCCCCAGACAAACUGCAUCGCAGACGAGACCUUCGAGUUCUUACAGUUUUAGGGUUCCUUUAUCUUGAAGGAAUUUGUUGUCACUCUGUGCCAUGCGGCAUGGUGCUUUUAAUAUGACUGGGAUGGAACUCCCUAACGAGAUACAGCUAAGACAAACCGCUGUCUUACUCACAAAGCCGUUGCAAUACAGCUUGUGCCCGAGCCUCCAUCACGGCUACCUGGCAUCUGCGCGUGACGCUGCAGCUUUGGAGCAACCCACAGGCGUGGAGAGGAGCCACGCGUGGAGAUCCANGGCAUGGUGGGCUGUGCUUCUUCCGAGCCCACGGCUCUGCGGCCCACAGACUUCAGCUCAUGCACCUCCUGGGUCUGCAUGUGCAGUUGGUGAGCGUGGAUGUGGGGCCCUGAGGAGUGGGUUGAGGAGGAUGCCCCAUUAACAAGUCGAUUUACUCUCAAUGACCCCAAAUGGGUCCCGACCUUCAGUCCCCGGAGGCCCUUCCACAGCCCCUGGCCAAAGACCAUGGGCAAACUUCAGACACCAGGGUAGAUGGAUUUGCCAGGCUGCACCGAGGGGAGCUGGGUGUCACGCACACAGUGCCAAGUCCAGCAGAGGGCAUGGGCACGUUGCCUGUCCCCCACGUGUGGCUUCAGCACAGUU